AACAAUCAUAGCCUUGUUAUUCGAGAGUACUUUUCUCUCCCAAAACUCUCCAUCUUUCAUCUUUAUCCCCCUUCUCUGCAUCAUAUCCCAGCUCCCCAAAAAAUAUAACCCCCUUUUUAAUCUACGCACUUUCAGAAUCUCACUUGCCGACGCCGGCGCCGACAACUUUCCUCUCCAUCGUCCGUCUUCGCACAACAAGAAAGAAAAUAUUUGAUUCGGGAUUUUUUUGAUUAAAUUUAUGAAUUAAUGACCCUAUGUUGUAUUGUUUCAUUUUUUUGGGUUUGAUCUUCUCUUAUAUAGCAAAUAAAUCUUAGUUAUUAUAAUUAUUGUUUGUAUGUAUUUUUUUGUGUAGACAUAAAAAAUUAAAAUUAAAAUAUAGGUAUAAUUUUUAUAUAUUAAAU
rnacentral:lncRNA from 1 species